rnacentral:rRNA from 1 species
AUUGAACGCUGGCGGCAUGCCUUACACAUGCAAGUCGAACGGCAGCACGGGAGCUUGCUCCUGGUGGCGAGUGGCGAACGGGUGAGUAAUACAUCGGAACGUACCCUGAAGUGGGGGAUAACGUAGCGAAAGUUACGCUAAUACCGCAUAUUCUGUGAGCAGGAAAGAGGGGGAUCGCAAGACCUCUUGCUUUAGGGGCGGCCGAUGUCGGAUUAGCUAGUUGGUGAGGUAAAGGCUCACCAAGGCGACGAUCCGUAGCGGGUCUGAGAGGAUGAUCCGCCACACUGGGACUGAGACACGGCCCAGACUCCUACGGGAGGCAGCAGUGGGGAAUUUUGGGACAAUGGGCGCAAGCCUGAUCCAGCCAUGCCGCGUGAGUGAAGAAGGCCUCGGUUGUAAGAC